rnacentral:lncRNA from 1 species
UAGGAGGACGCAACUAAUUUGUUGUUUGUAUAACUCAUCAAUAUCAAAUCGCUUGCUGAAUGAAAUCUUGAAGUACCUUCAUAAACUCAUUAUUGUACCGUGAUACAAUGUUUAUACGCCAGAUGCGUAUACACACAUUAAUUCAAUAUGCAUUUAAACAAAACGCACAUAGGGAUGAUAGAAACAUUAAUAUCUUGGUUAAUACCCUUUUCAAUUUACAGAAAUGGACUCUUUUAUAUUUGCAAAAUGGUAGUUUAC